UUUGUACUCCCUCCGUCCGGAAAUACUUGUCAUCAAAAUAGAUAAAAGGGGAUGUAUCUAGACAUAUUUUAGUUUUAGAUACAUCUCCUUGACAAGUAUUUUUGGACGGAGGAAGUACUAA
rfam:Triticum aestivum genome assembly, contig: Triticum_aestivum_CS42_TGACv1_scaffold_424735_5BS